GAGGGAAUAUCCAGGAGGCUGGCCGAGCACAGCCUUGCAGCGUUGUUUGCAAAGCACAAGCCUGGAAACUCCGACUGCCAUCAGCAGGGGCUGGAUAAAGACUUUGUAGCACGGAUUGUGGACUAGAGCAGUCCCCAGAGGGGAACGUGAGUCAGGGUAGCUCUCUUUGUAUCAACGCACGGGUAAGUCUUGGAAGUAAUUAAAAAGGAAGAGGGCGCUGAGGGAGAGCAUCGCGACCCGCGCGCUCCGGGCCACUGACAGGGAGGGCCCGGCGCCAACCAGGGCGUUUGCAGCCGCAGCGGCAGGGAAGGACGGUACCACAGGGCACUCCGGGUACCUUUGAAGAGGGACCGUGGGACUGGGAGGUGGGCCACAGCCCUACUAGUGUUGUUUUAUUUCUGAAAAAUACAUCUGUUGUAUAUGUCACAAAAUGUGAAUGAUGACUCACUUGGAAUGAUGGUUACGUGCAAUUCUAUGACUCUGUACAUUUUGAUUGUGUGCAAAUAUUUUGUUUUCAGAAUUGAAACAAAAAUAAGAAUUAACCAUUUUAAAAGGUGUUGUAGCACGGAAGUAUAAUUUAGUCAUUUAUUCUUUAAAAAUUCUUAAGUUUGCAUCCUUCAUGUGUUUCUUCCUCUCUCCUUUUCCCCACCCUUCAGAAAAAAAUUUAAAGACCCCAGAACAAUGCAUUGGCUUUGCAGUUUGGACCUUUACAUGGAUAGCCACCUGGGUGUAUGUCUUCGUGCAGUUAUUCAGAGCAUGGCAGGGGACAGGCUUCUUGGGCAGCAAGGUCCCCAGGAGCCCUGUGCCCUCCAUCUGGGACCUACAGAACCACUGCCUCACUCACUCAUGGGAGGUGGGGCGCAGCCCCUGGCUCCACUCUUGGCCACGAGCAUGGCGCCCAGACCUCUCCUGAAGGAAAGGACAGCACCCACAGCAGCCUGACCACCCACUGGCCACCUGGAUGCCUGUGCACAGAGUCACGCCUUUACACUCCGGAAUCCUGCAUCUUCUCUUGAUGUCACAGCGAACAUAUUUUAGAAAUUCAAGUCAAGAUUAGUGAGAGGGGCUGGGGGCAGCAAGUUGGCGGCGGUUAGAGUGGGGCUUAGCCAGGAAAAGAGGAGAGUCAGUGCCCAGGGCCAGGGUGGCCUUCUCUGGCAGGCUGUGGCUCGUCACGUACCUCCUCACUCCUGAAGGAAAGCUCCUGCCUUUCUGGCCCUAAGCUCUUUCUAGAAAGGACUCCCUCUAACCAUGGCAGCCAGAGAGAUCUGGUUCUUCAAAUACGAGCCUGCUUAAAGCCCUUGCUCAGUGGGAGAGGCUGUGAAGCCAGGUCCUUUGGCCUGGCCUGGUCAGUGAUUACAGGGUCUGCGUAUGUUUAUUCUGUUCCUCAGCCUGUUCUGAGCCAGGCCUGGAGGAGGAUAUUGUUUCCUGGGAGCCACCUGGCUUUCAAAAGCUUCCCUACCAACAUGGCCCAAAGCCCUUUGGAACUUUCUCCUGCACACGCGGUAGGCUGGCGGCCCCCUUGCUCUCUGUUCCGGGCACACUCCCUCCCACUGCUUCACCCCCGUAGGUCAGUCUCCUCCCCGUGGUCCUCAGUCACCCCUUCUCCUUGGGAACUGCCAGAGUUCCAGUAUGUUGGCUCUCCGACUUCAUUCCCCUACCCCCACUCCGAGCCUGGGAAAGUCAUGAGCAGGAAAUCUGUCUUGAUGAAGUCGGUGUGUGAAUGGCUCACUCCUGAGUUUUACUUCUCAGGGGCAUAGCAAGGAGUUGAGGAAGGUCAACAGAAAACUGCGCUGCCCUGGCUUACAUCUCACCGCUGCUCCCCUCUUGGAGGUCCCCCUGUGCCAGCAUGGUGGGCACAGGCGACAAGGGGUUUGGGUGUCUCCUCGGAAGCCUUUGCUCCCCGAGAGAAGGCAUCAUCAGUUUUGGAUGUUAAACUGGAGGACCUCAUAGAUACUCACAUUUAAAAAAGCAUUAAGUUUCACAGAAAUUCCUGAGUUAACCAUCAGCCCCAAACCUUGUAUUCCUUGAGGAAAGUGGGCAUGCGUUUUUAGGUUUGCAUCGCAAAGGAUCCGUGCCUGGCCCGUGGCAGGUGCUCACGAUGACCCGCUGGGCCACUGAAUGAUGCGCGUUGACCCUGGGAAGAAGAACCCUGGAAGAAGAACAUAAGCAGACUGAACGUUGGUAUCACCAACUCAAUGUUGGUGAUGCGUUUACGUAAAAUAUUGAGUGGGUAGGAGUUACAGUAUUUAAACAAAUUAUUUGAUCCCAGCAAGAUUUUUGUAGGUACAGGCAAACUAAUUCUAAAAUGUAUUUUUAAAGACAUGGUCGUUAGUAGCGCUAACAUGAUUUUGACGAAGAAUAAAGUGGGAGGAAGCAGUCCAGCUGAUUUCAAGACCCUGCAUGGCUACGGGGCCAAGAGCGCGACUGCGGGCAGAGGGACAGACACGCGGAUCACGGGAGCGGAGCGAGGAGCCGCUGACAAAGCCGCACAUGCCUGACCUGUUUUGAUGAAAAUGCAAAAUAAUUCAAUGGAGAAAAGUUAGUCUUUCCAACAAGUGGUGUGGGAGUAGUUGUACAUCCCUAGCAAAACACCACAGAAAACAUGCCAGCCCAACUCUCACACCGUGCAUGAUAAUGAACUAGAAAUGGAUGGCUGACUUAAAUGUAAUUGUCAUGUCACACGUUUAGAAAAACAUAGAAGAAAAUCUUCAAGAUCUAGGGCCAGGCAAGGGAGUCUUAGGCCAGACACCAAAAGCAGAUCCACAGAAGGAAAAUUUGAUUAAUCAGAUAACCAAAUUUGAACUUUUUGUUCUGUGAAAGAUACAUUUAUUUAUUCAUUCAUUCAUUCAUUCAUUCUCUUACUUUUUGUGAGAGAUAUUUUUUAAAAGAAUGCAAAGAUGAGAUGCAGGCUGAGGGAAAUCUUUGCAAACCAUACAUGCAACAGAGGACUAGUAUCUACAAUAUAUAAAGAAUACUCAAAAAGAGACAGACAGACAGAAAGAAAGAGAGAGAAAGAAAGAAAGGCAAGCUAUGACAGAAGACAAUCAAUUAGAAUUUGGACAAAACACACAAAAAGACAUUUCACCAAAGAGGUUACAAAUGAUGCUUAAGCCUGAGAGAAAAUGUUCAUCGUCGUUAGCCAUCAAGGGAAUGCAAAUGGCCAGCACAGCGGGAAUACAGGCGCCCGACAGAACGGCUGACGUGAUAGACGAGGGACAGCCUCAACUGCUGGUGACCAUGGGGGGAAGCUGGACCGUUCACACGUUGCUGGUGGGAAUAGAAAAUGGUACAUUCACUCUGGAGAACAGUUUGACAGUUUCUUCUAAAACGAGAUUUGAAACUAAAGCCCAGCAAUUGCAUUCUUGGGCAUUGGUCCCAAGGAAACAGAAACUUAGGUUCACACAGAGCUCUGUACACGGGGCUCAUAGCAGCCUUACUCGUAACAGAAACUGGAGACAGCCCAGAUGUCCUUCCCUGGCCGGACGGCUAAGGGACUACACAGCAACGCACACAGUGAGCUGCCGGCCCACAGGGCAAUCUGGGCGCAUCUCCAGAGAAUUAGGCAGAGGGACCAAAGCCAAUCCCAAAGCCUAUUUACUGCAUGAUACAUAGAUUUUAAACUUAAGAUAAAAAUGUAUGGGACAUGAAGGGGUGAGGGGUGGGAGGUCGGGAACCAGGUGGUGGGUAUCAGAGAGGGCAUGAUUGCAUGGAGCACUGGGUGUGGUGCAAAAAUAAUGAAUACUGUUAUGUUGAAAAUAAAUUAAAAAAAUAAAAAAAAUUAAAAAAUGUAUGGGACAUUUCUCAAUUAGAAGAUCUCGGAAGUGGGUAUCCAUAUGGUGGCCACCAGCACUUGGGGACAAGGUGGGGGGCAGGUGUGUUUAUAAAAGCAAGAGGGAGCCACCCUUGGAGUGAAGGGAGUGUUCAGACCUGGACGCGCGCAUUUCAGAGACCAUAGGGACACAUAGCUGUGUCCCCUGAACAACUACAAAAUUUGGCAGGAUUUCUGUUGAUUUGUUUUUUUUUUGUUUUUGUUUCUGGUUUUUUUAAAUGUGAUUAUUGUGUGCAGAAAGAUUUGUAAGGAUAGAAACAGAAUUCUAAGUAGUUAUUUAUGGAGACUGAAACUGCAGUGUGAAUAGGGGGAAAUUUACAUUUUGUCCCUUAUGUAAUUUUUUACCUUUUCAUAGGUAUUUGGUAGUUUUAAAGUUAUGUAUGAAAUGAUGAGUCGAGGAUGGACUAAAAGGAGCAAGAAGAAGGGCCAGGCUCUGUGUUUGUCGUCUGGUGAAAUUUCUGACUUUCCCUGAUUUUUGUGUGACUGAGAAGCAUAUUAUGGUCAACCUUUCUGUACAGAUUAUGAAGUAAGGUAGAUGAUCAGUUGUAUCUCAGAUAAGCGCAAACAAAUUUCUGAUUUAUAUUUAGCAUCAAAAUAUUUUUAUUUCUAUCUCAUCCCAUAUAUUGAAAGUCUUGUUUCCUUCGGCAUUGUAUGUUUAUUUGAUUCAUCUUAAAAUAUACCAGAAAGUUUCAGAGUUGUAUCAGCAUUACUGACGACAACAAAUUCACUGAGCACAGUUUUUUAUUUUUCCUUGCAGAUCUUUCCAUAUCUGGAAGAUACCACUUUCAGGAUGCAGAAAGCCGAUGUUCAAAAUUACUUUAAAAUAUUGUAUUAUCCUGUCAACUUUCUAGACAGAUUUCUGUAUUUCUCUGUGUUAAUCUCAGAGCUUUUCCCAUGGACUGGAUUCCAUUUCUGCGAAGUAACUGAGGUGGUUCGAACGCCGUGAACGCUGCGCCCGGCGCGGCCCUGACCUUCCCCGUCCUGUUCUCGGCCCGGCCUCCGUUUGUCGGUCCACAUUAGCGGCUCACCCGUCUCCGCGAUCGUUUUUUGCCAAGAUUCCUCAUGCGACCGAGAUCACGCAAUCGCCAUGCUCUGACGGACUGACUUCACUGAGCGUCACACCCUCUGGCUCCGGCCCCCUUGUUGCAAAUGGCAAGAUUCCUUUCUUCUUGACGGCUCGAUACUAUUCCUCGUGUGUGUACACCACAGUUCCUUUAUCCAUUCAUCAGUGCGUGGACCCCGGACGCUCCGGCUGCUGCCUGGCUUGGCUCUUGUGUAAAGUGAAGUCUCACAGCAGUUUUGAUUUGCGUUAGCCCGAUGAUGAGUGAUUUUGAGCAUCUUUCCAUGAGUCUGUUGGCCAUCUGGAUGUCUUCUUUGGAACAAUGUUUAUUCAGGUCUUCUGCCCAUUUUUAAUUGGAUUAUUUGUUUUUUGGGGUUCAGCUGUAUAAGUUCGUUACAUGUUUUGGACAUUAACCUCUUGUUGGAUAUAAAAUUUGCAAAUAUCUUCUCCCAUUCAGUCGUUGCCUUUUUAUUUUGUUGACAGCUUC